AUGACUUUGGAGGGCUGCAUCUGGCCCUGGCUGAUUGAGGGAUUCAGACCCCCUCUUUCCUUUUUGGAAUUUUGUAGCUCAAGAUGGAGGGUCCAGGAUGAGAGAAGAACUCUUGUCAGUUGGAGGCCAGUGUGGAUGUUGCAGUUGGCCACCUUGAUUGGCAUGGAAUAGCCUUGCAGCUUCAAGGUCUGGCUGCUUCCUGCCUGGGGGAAUCAUUUGUUGGCAGGUGUUAGCUGACCCUGAUUGUGUCAUGCCUCUGCAUUCUUUGCUAGAUAAAUUUAAAACCUUGCAGAAUUACAACUCUUACUACUCCAUAACACUGAGCCAUGGCAGUUCAAGUGUUGUCAAACUGGAUUAAUUUUACAGUGCAGAUGCGCCCUGUGAUAGAAAUGUUCAGGAAAAGAGGACUUUGCAACCGCACACAUCCACUGCCAGCAUACUCUCUGCUUUGCCUAUAGAGAUAUCUGAAAGUGGAGCCGCAAGAGUAUAUAGGCUUAUAGGGAGGAUUCAUGUGAGGUUGGAUGGGCUUCUACCAUCUCCAAAGCAAGAAUAUAUACCAUUUGAUGG
rnacentral:lncRNA from 1 species